ensembl:lncRNA
UUCUAGACUGGAGGGAGGCUUGAGUUGUACAAGUGAAUCGACUGUUGUGCUAUUGUUUGUUUUAAGUAAAAAUAUGCUUUUUACCAUCAACCAUGUGCGUCAAGGAAACUCUUUUUCACAUUUGUUGAUAGUGAUGGGAUGAUUCCUCUAGCCGAGUGGAGGGGACCCACAUUUCGAUAAACACUGUUCAAGGAGCAUCAAGGUGGGCCACAGUGAAAGGUGAGCAGGUAGACGAAGAGACCUGCUAGGAGAAGAGAUCACUGGUGGAGUUGAACUGCUGUCCUUCUGGGGUUGACCAGAGCCUGAAGGAGGAAUAGCUCGGGAACUCCUUGUUGCUGACGUGAGCCUUGUGAGGAGCUAUUGCCAAGCCUUGACAGAACAGCAGUGGCGGAGGACAGCAAUGGUUGAAGACUUCCUGAGGAGAUCCAGUGGAGGACCAGUCUGCAGCCCAGGGGAAGGGCCGGUGGUCGGAGGCCAAGUUAUCUGCUGGAACUACAGAGGGCUGAGCAGAUUUUGCAGGCUGAGUGAGGGAUCAGUUUGUUGUCUGCGGCCGGGAGGACCUGGUCUACAAGGCUUCAUUGCGGAGCCUGAAAACCAGCAAAGAACUUCAGAGAGGAGACAAAUAGAGACCUGCAUACAGAUGAGGAAAGUGUGGAAGAGAAACCAUUCCCUUUUCAUUAUCUAAUAUAUAUAUUUGGAGUCUCAAAGUAGAGAGAUGAUAGAGGAAUGAAUGAUAGUAGAGGGAUAGAUUGAUAUGGUGAUAGUUGAGUGAUAGAUUGGUGGAGAAGUGAUGUAGGGAUUGAAUAACAGAGAAGUGAUUGUGGAGUGAUCCAGUGAUAGUAGCGUGAUUUUGUGAUAUAGGAGUGAUUUUGUGAUAUAGUGAUAGUUGAUUGAUGGAGGGAUAGUAGAGUGACACAUUGAUUGUAGAGCAAUUGGAGAAUGAUGUAGUGAAAAUAGAGCGAUUCAGUGAUAGUAGAGGGAUAUAGCAGUGAUAUAGUGUAAGGAGAGAGGGGUUAUAUGGGGAUACAGUGAGAUAGUAUAUUAGUGAUAGUAAAGGGAGAAAGUGGUAGUACAGUGAAAUAGUGCUAGUAGAUUGAUAGAUUGAUAGUGGCAUAUAGUGACAGUAGCGAUAGAGAGAUGGUGGAGUGAUUUUGGAUAGUAGAGUGAUAGAUAAGUGAGAUAGUGAUAGUUAUAGUAUAGUGAUAGAGGAGUGAGAUUAUAUUAGCGAUGAGUUGUGAGGAGGGGGUCGAGGUGGGAAGGUAUUUCCCAAAGCCACAUGUCUUCAGCAACAACAACAACAAACUUUCACCACACAAAGUGGGUCUGGACACCUCCCACUCCCAGUGCUGUCAACCUUUCUGCUGUGACUCCUCCUGUCAGACCAGGGGAAGGGAGGAGCAGUGGGCACCGGGGGGGCCUGGGGAGGGGAGAGGAAGGGUGGAGCUGGGAGGAGGUGGGCAGGGGAGACUAGGGGAGGAGCAGGCCCCAGGAGGCCCAGGGGAGAGGAGAAGAGAGGAGACGGAAGGAGGUGCAGGAGACUAUUUGGAUCUCCACUCCAGCUGCUCUUCCUCCUGCCGUCCAGAGGAGGAGGAGGAGGAGGAGGGCUACAGCGACUGGUCCGAGGAGGAUCUUUCUCUUCAUUUCUCCGCCUCCAUCAUCCUCCCCUCUGAUGAAGAGUCAGACAGAGAGACGGGGGAGACACAGGUACUGCUUUGCUUGUGGUUAUUUGUGUUUUGCGUAAAGGAAAAAGGGUGUGUGUGUGUGUGUGUGUGUGUGUGUGUGUGUGUGUGUGUGUGUGUGUGUGUGUGUGUGUGUGUGUGUGUGUGUGUGUGUGUGUGUGUGUGUGUACACAAUGUCAACAUUAUAAGAACAAGAUAUUUGUGCUUUUACAGAACAAAGAGAAGGAGGGGCCUCAGGCCAAGGGUGGGGUUGAUGUGUCAGCCAAUCAGUUGCUCAGUCAGUCAAAGUGUCAUCGCCCAGCAACGUUUCUCCGGCAACACAGCAUGCCUGCAUACUACCAGCGGAGAUUUGCAACCAGCGACGAGGAGGGGCCCAGGGGCUACCGGGGCCUGGUGACUGCAGGCAGGCCAGGUACCCCCACCAUGCUGCUGUUAGACUAGCAAACACCCACCAUGCUGCUGUUAGCCUAGCAAACACCUACCAUGCUGCUGUUAGCCUAGCAAACACCCACCAUGCUGUUGUUAGCCUAGCAGACACCCACCAUGCUACGGUUAGCCUAGUUGACACCCACCAUGCUACCGUAUAACUAUCAUAUACCCACUAUGCAACUGUAGGAUAGCUACCCCCAUGCUGCUGUUAGCCUACCAAUAGGGAUGUCCGAUAUUGGCUUUUUUGCCGAUAUCCGAUAUGCGAUAUUGUCCAACUCUCAAUUUUCGAUUCCGAUAUCAGCCGAUACCGAUGUCGAUAUUUGGGUUAUUUUUCCUCAAACCUAAUUUAGGUAACAUUACAUAUCUCCUGUUGUGGAAUUAACACAACAUGCUUAAUGUUAUUGUGAUGCCCACUGGAUGCAUUCUUGAAUGCAACAAGGCUUUCCAAAUGUUAACAUUGUCUGUGCAAAAUAAGAAAAAUACUUCAACUUAAUUUAAGGGAAAAGUGCCAUGUUUAUUUUUAUUUUUUUAAUGGUCUCAGACAACAGUUUGGAUUACACUCUCCCUGAGAUAAUCUUGACAAUGCCCACAACAAAUAGGGCAAACUUGACUUCACAAAUGAUAAAACAUUGUACCUGAACAACUAUGUGCAACAUAGCAGUAUGUUUCUUUAACUAAAACUCAAUAACCUUAAUUGAAUAAAUGCACAAAUAUGAGUCAAUUACAAUGUGCACUGUACUGCACAAUUUUGAAAACAUUUAUUUGAGCUAAAAAAAAAAAAAAUCGGUUUUAAGGCAAAAAAAAUCCGAUACCGAUAUUGACAGAUAUUACAUUUUUAUGCUAAUAUCGGGCCGAUAAUAUCGGUGGGCCGAUAAUAUCAGACAUCUCUACCUACCAACCAUUCUACACCCACUAUUCUACCGUUUGAUUAAAGUACAACCACCAUACUUCUUUAAGCCUAGCAUACAGCAUACACCUGUCAUGCUACUGUUAGCCUGGCAUACAUCCACCAUGCUUCUGUUAGUUUUACUGCCACCAUGCUACUGUUAGAUAGCUAACAUACAGCGUUGAAGUAGUUCCUCAUAGCUCCUCAGGGGAAUACACUUAAUUGCAUACAUUUAAUUGCUUAUCUACGAUGGCUCAUUGCAUUCACUCAAUAAUAAAAAUUUCACCAGGUUAUCUCAUUAUUAUGAGAUAGUAUCUCAUAAUUAUGAGAUAAUUAUCUCAUAAUUAUGAGAUAACUGGUGUUCUGACCAUCAGUAGUGUUGCCAGAUUGGGCGGUUUCCCACCCAAUUGAGCUACUUAGGAUGGCCGUCUGCGGGUAAAAAUGGGUAAAAAGGGUAUUUGGGUGGGUUUUUCUGCAGAUUUCUGGCCAUAGAAAGCAAUAGAAUUUAGUUAAUAUUGGGCGGGAUUGGGUGCUUCCAGGUGGAUUUUGAGCAUUUUUGGGCUGGACAUCAUCAGUCUCACCUGUCAACCGUGCAGUUGCACUAGUCCCAGGCUUGCUGAGGGUUGCUUUCGUGAUAUAGAUGUACGUGCGUAUGUCACGCAGCUAAAAUGUUGCUUGACCAUUUUGUGUCAAAAAUUGUCCUACGUACGCAGCUACGCGCCUGUGGCUGCGCUGGAUUUAGGAGUCCCAGGAAGGAAACCCAAACGCCGCCGUGUUUGGGUGCAUGAUAGAGCUUGGAUCGGGUUAGAUUAAAUAAUCUCGGAUAUAAAUAACAAUAAUCGGGUUAAAUAACUUCACAUGGUGUGUCUGGUGUGUUUCCAGCAUUCGUAGUGUUGAUCAGCAGAGAAAUAGUCCGCCAAGACGUUGAGGUUGCUUAGCAACCAGAGACUCUGUCCAUGCAAGUGAACGGAGCGUUCACUCUUCGUCAUAACUAUCAAACCAAACAUCCUUCACAUUCACCGAGCGAACAUUAUGAAAGUAAAAUGCACAUUUCUCGCUAAAAAUGUUUCCAUAAACGCAUUUAAUGGCGUAACUUUGUUACUAUUUCCAACCUGAAUAAAGAAAGAUGUCGGCCGAAUGCUUCUGUGCAAGCGUCACUACUCUCUACUAUCUCAUAAUUACGAGAUAGUAUCUCAUAAUUACGAGAUAAUUAUCUCAUAAUUAUGAGAUAGUAUCUCAUAAUUAUGAGAUAAUUAUCUCAUAAUUAUGAGAUAACCUGGUGAAAUUUUUAUUAUUGAGUGAAUGCAAUGAGCCAUCGUACUUAUCAAAGAUUUACGAUAUGUUCUGAAUAUUUGCUUGUUAAAAAUGAGUGCAAGUAACAACUAAAAAAAUACAAAAAAUUGUCUUAAGAAUUAAAUGAAUAAAAACAUAUCUAUCUCUUGUUUCUAUAAUGAAGCACUUGAAGUCAGCUGCACAUAACAGUUAGCCUUAUAAUCACAGAGCCAAACAUAGUGCUAAAUUAUUUGUGUUUGUAGACACACUACCAUUUCUUUUAUUACAUUACAUGAAGCUUUGGACAAAUGCUGAUGCUUUUGUCCAAAGCAAAAUACAACUAGUGCACUCAACCAUAAACAUAUAACCCAAACAGUAUAAAAAUCAUGCGAUUACAUGAAAUGAAACCGAAGAUGGAGAUGUUUUAUUCAUUGAUUAAAUUAUUAUUAUCAUCGCGCUGACAUUUUGUAGGGUUUCACGUGUCCUGACGUCAGUGGGGGAUGUCAGCCAGGACAGCAAUCAAGGUUUUGUGGAGCAUUCGUCUUAGUAUAGAGGGAGAAGCAGUAGGGGAGGCUGGGCUGUAGGUUUGACCAGGACCUUGAGAAAGAAGACUGAACCUGAGAUUGGAAGAAGGAGCUUUUUGCUUCAGAUAAGGAGGCAGAAAAGAGGAGAGCAUGGUAGGCGAGAAGGACAUCAGGGCACUUGGAGUUGCACCAUUCUCUUUCAGCCAUCCGUACGCUGGUGCUGUCAGACUGGACUGAGUCAGACUCAGAGCUCGAGGGUUCACGUGAGGGGAUAGGUGACAGGACAGAUGAGGCAAGAGGAGGGAGAUUUGUGUUAUAACUGGCACUCGUUUUGAGUGAGCGACUAUUUGGACAUCUUUGGAAAGUGAUUAAAAGUGUAUUCCCCUCAUACGAAUGGGAUCUAUGCAACUGUAACACUGCAAUUCUACUGUUAGCUAACGUUCCUUACAUCUCGUUGUGAUUCUGACUUCUCCCUCUGUCCUAGAACUCCUAGGACCAGGUAGGAACAGUAAACCAAGGCUCCAGAAGUCAUUUUCUUUGGACGAAACAAAAACCAAGUUGGCGUCCUGCAUAAUCAAGGAGGUUUUGUCCAAGAAAAUGCAAGGAGAAAGAGGACCAGCCAAGUAUGCCAGUAAUCUGAUCCCAAACCACCCUAACUGCCAAACCCCAGGCAACCAACCAAAGUUUAGGCAUGGAGUAGGAGGUACAAGCCUGGUUCAGGGUGGACCAGUCCAUAUUGUGAGGGAUAUCAAGAGUCAGGUUCAAACAACGGGCCGCCUCUCCUUCACCAACACUUCCUCCGCUGCAACCACGACACACCACCGCGCUACUGGCUGGAGCCAUGUGACAUACAAGGUGAUUGGCGCAGAGGAUAGCCCCCCCCCAAGCUACCAGCAGGCUGUGGGGGUCAAGGACACCAAGGAGGCCACAAAGAGUCAUCCAUUGACUUCCCAAAGUCACGCUACCGUGGCAACAGCUCUUCCCCAAUCACUGGAGAGACUUGAGGGCAGCAGGUUCCCUAACUGCAGCACUCCAAUCAGAAAACAAGCAGCAGCCAAUCAGACGUGUCAGCUGGGGCCUAUCACUGAGGGGGGGGGGCAGCGUUCCGGGAGGGUCAGGGGUUCGAUUCCCCAGCAGGGAUCAGCUGGGGAAUCUGGAAAAAUUGGUCGGCCUCCACUCCCUGUUUACAACUACACCCCCAUCCUCGGGACAGGGUACGCCCAACCUACGGGCCUCCCCGACACCCCCACUGUGGUCUCCUCUUCCUCUACCCAGCAGAAGGCUAGAGGAGGAAAGGAUCCUCCCGUUCAUACAGACGAUUACAAGGGCUUUAUCAGCACCUCCACCCAGAACACCUCCACCCAUAAGACCUCCACUCAGAACACCUCCACCCAGAACAUCUCCAACAAGUACACUUCAAUUCAGAACACCUCCACCCAGAACAUCUCCAACAAGUACACUUCAAUUCAGAACACCUCCAACCAGAACAUCUCCAACAAGUACACCUCAAUUCAGAACACCUUCAACCGGAAAACCUCCACCCAGAACACCUCCCCCCAGAAUACCUCCACCCAAAGCAUCUCCAACCACCAUGCCACCCACAAACUGGAUCAAACACAACUACACCACCAACAACUACAACAGCAUCAGCUGCUUCAGCAGCAGCAGUUCAUGUUUGCCCUGCAGGGGUUCUGGCCUGGAGGAGGUCUGGUUGGGUUGACGAAUGCAGGGCCUGUAUCCACAAUGCCGCCCACCCAACGCCAGGUCAAAACCCUGUUUGAUCCAGAAACAGGUCAAUAUGUGGAAGUCCUCCUCCCAUUGGCUAACUAUGCCACCGGGAUGAUACCUGUAGGCCCCUCCACCAGUAUGAUACCCGUAGGCCCCUCCGCCAGUAUGAUACCUGUAGGCUACGGCCCCAUUCAGUACGGCUCAGCCCAUAUGCAGGUUGGCUCCGCCCAUAGUAUGAUACCUGUCAGCUCUGCCCCCCUACAUGUAGGCUCCGCCCCCAGUUUGAUACCUGUAGGCUGUAGAGUGAUGUCGUACCAUCCCAUGCCUGUACUCGCCUCAUACUACCCCCCCUUUACUUUACACACACACCCUGGCCCGUAACACACAAACACACCCUGCCCUGUAACACAAACACACCCUGCCCCGUAACACACACAGACAUCCUCCCCUGUAACUCACACCCACACACACAGACUUUGCCCAUUACACACACACCAUACAGUUCCUUUAAUAGACACAUACCUUGUCCUGUAACAUAUACGCACAUAGACUGCCCCGUGAAAACACACUCACGCACACCCCCACACACACACACACACACACACACACACACACACACAGGCCAACACAAUAACACACCAACACACACACACAUCAACACACUGACUUUGAAAGAACGUAAAAAUAUUAAAAGUAUUAGUAUUCCUAUAAAUAGGGCAAGGCACUUACACAGGGUAUAAGGUUUGAUUCCCACUUGGGCCACUAAUGAGUGUUUAAAAAAAGCAUCUGUCAAAUGGCAGAUAUUAUUUUCUUCAUACAACAUUUUUUAAAAUAAUAAAUAUACAAUACAAAACAGGGUUGUAUCUGGUGCAUUAUUGUUUGUGGUUAGUCCUACAGGGUGGUCAGUCCUACAGGGGGGUUAGUCCUACAGGGGGUUAGUCCUACAGGGUGGUUAGUCCUA